rnacentral:rRNA from 1 species
GACGAACGCUGGCGGCGUGCUUAACACAUGCAAGUCGAACGAAGUGGCGAACGGGUGAGUAACGCGUAAUCAACCUGCCCUUCAGAGGGGGACAACAGUUGGAAACGACUGCUAAUACCGCAUACGGAAGGAGGGGAUUGCGUCGGAUUAGCUCGUUGGAGGGGUAACGGCCCACCAAGGCGAUGAUCAGUAGCCGGGCUGAGGGGAUGAACGGCCACAUUGGGACUGGGACACGGCCCAGACUCCUACGGGAGGGAGCAGUGGGGAAUCUUCCGCAAUGGACGAAAGGCUGACGGAGCAACGCCGCGUGAGUGAUGACGGCCUUCGGGUUGGAAAGCUCUGUUAAUCGGGACGCGGUACCGGAAUAGAAAGCCACGGCUAACUACGUGCCAGCAGCCGCGGUAAUAC